rnacentral:rRNA from 1 species
AGAGGUUGAUUCUGGCUCAGGACGAACGCUGGCGGCGCGCCUAACACAUGCAAGUCGAACGAGCGAGAGAGAGCUUGCUUUCUCGAGCGAGUGGCGAACGGGUGAGUAACGCGUGAGGAACCUGCCUCAAAGAGGGGGACAACAGUUGGAAACGACUGCUAAUACCGCAUAAGCCCACGGUGCCGCAUGGCACAGAGGGAAAAGGAGCAAUCCGCUUUGAGAUGGCCUCGCGUCCGAUUAGCUAGUUGGUGAGGUAACGGCCCACCAAGGCGACGAUCGGUAGCCGGACUGAGAGGUUGAACGGCCACAUUGGGACUGAGACACGGCCCAGACUCCUACGGGAGGCAGCAGUGGGGAAUAUUGCACAAUGGGGGAAACCCUGAUGCAGCGACGCCGCGUGGAGGAAGAAGGUCUUCGGAUUGUAAACUCCUGUUGUUGGGGAAGAUAAUGACGGUACCCAACAAGGGAGUGACGGCUAACUACGUGCCAGCAGCCGCGGUAAAACGUAGGUCACGAGCGUUGUCCGGAAUUACUGGGUGUAAAGGGAGCGCAGGCGGGAAGACAAGUUGGAAGUGAAAUCUAUGGGCUCAACCCAUAAACUGCUUUCAAAACUGUUUUUCUUGAGUAGUGCAGAGGUAGGCGGAAUUCCCGGUGUAGCGGUGGAAUGCGUAGAUAUCGGGAGGAACACCAGUGGCGAAGGCGGCCUACUGGGCACCAACUGACGCUGAGGCUCGAAAGUGUGGGUAGCAAACAGGAUUAGAUACCCUGGUAGUCCACACCGUAAACGAUGAUUACUAGGUGUUGGAGGAUUGACCCCUUCAGUGCCGCAGUUAACACAAUAAGUAAUCCACCUGGGGAGUACGACCGCAAGGUUGAAACUCAAAGGAAUUGACGGGGGCCCGCACAAGCAGUGGAGUAUGUGGUUUAAUUCGACGCAACGCGAAGAACCUUACCAAGUCUUGACAUCCCUUGACAGGCAUAGAAAUAUGUUUUCUCUUCGGAGCAAGGAGACAGGUGGUGCAUGGUUGUCGUCAGCUCGUGUCGUGAGAUGUUGGGUUAAGUCCCGCAACGAGCGCAACCCUUAUGGUCAGUUACUACGUAAGAGGACUCUGGCCAGACUGCCGUUGACAAAACGGAGGAAGGUGGGGAGGACGUCAAAUCAUCAUGCCCUUUAUGACUUGGGCUACACACGUACUACAAUGGCGUUAAACAAAGAGAAGCAAGACCGCGAGGUGGAGCAAAACUCAGAAACAACGUCCCAGUUCGGACUGCAGGCUGCAACUCGCCUGCACGAAGUCGGAAUUGCUAGUAAUCGUGGAUCAGCAUGCCACGGUGAAUAAAAAGCCGGGCCUUGCACA